ensembl:snoRNA SNORA74 Small nucleolar RNA SNORA74
CCUAGCAGAGGGGAAUGGCCUAGGUUGCAUUGUACCUAGGCAAUGUUACACUGCUGGGAGAAAAGCAGCUAAUAGGUGGAGGGCAUCCUGGGCUUGGUCAAA